rnacentral:sRNA from 1 species
AAAGAUCACAAAAGUUAUAUACACAUACAAGAAAAAGAACUAAAUCAAUCAUCAUUUAAGCCGUUACUUUAUUUAAAUAAAAAAACACAAAAACUUGAAAUCAUAUACUUUAUAUGAUAAAUUUAAAAUCUAUAUUAGUAGUAUAAAUUUAAAAUCAUUCAAGGGACGGUAUACCACAUGUGAGAUCCUAAAAUUAUUGGAUUUAUAAUAAUAAUAAUUUAUUUUUCUUGGAUUUUAUAACAUUAAU